GCGGGUAUAGCACAAUGGUUAGUGUUCCUGCCUUCCAAGCAGGCGAUACGGGUUCGAAUCCCGUUACCCGCU
rnacentral:tRNA from 1 species